UUCAGCCUGUAUACGGAACGUGUGGCUUACGUUCGUCCAUUACAACAUUGGACUUGACUGAGGAUACAUCUUGUCUGUGUCGUACUUUCUAUUUCCCCUUUUAUAGUUGCCAGCUGAGAAGCUGCUUUUGUCUGCCACUAGGUUUCCAUCCACUUUCUGCACAUUUUCAAGGGUUAUGGGCAGGUCAGCCUCAUCAUGGAAUUUGGUAGCUACUCUUCACAGCUCUCUGCCUGGACUGACUCCCGCCUCCGCCUCGCUCUUGUACACACACGGCCCUGGAUAUUGAGUCUUCUUUGGAUUGAAGGACAAACCUUCUGGAACUCUGGAACCAGGCUCUUGCCCAGACCCCUUCCCAGACCCCUUCCCAGAACGCUGACCAUGCACAUUUGUUCAUUAAACCUUACUUAACUUUA